rnacentral:rRNA from 1 species
AUUGAACGCUGGCGGCAGGCUUAACACAUGAAAGUCGAGCGGGGUGAUGGUGCUUGCACUAUCACUUAGCGGCGGACGGGUGAGUAAUGCUUAGGAAUCUGCCUAUUAGUGGGGGCCAACAUCUAGAAAGGGAAGCUAAUAACGCAUACGUCCUACGGGAGAAAGCAGGGGAUCACUUGUGAUCUUGCGCGAAUAGAUGAGCCUAAGUCGGAUUAGCUAGUUGGUGGGGUCAAGGACUACCAAGGGGACGAUCUGUAGCGGGUCUGAGAGGAUGAUCCGCCACACUGGGACUGAGACACGGCCCAUACUCCUACGCGAGGCAGCAGUGGGGAAUAUUGGACAAUGGGGGGAACCCUGAUCCAGCCAUGCCGCGUGUGUGAAGAAGGCCUUAUGGUUGUAAAGCACUUUAAGCGAGGAGGAGGCUCUUUUGGUUAAUACCCAAGAUGAGUGGACGUUACUCGCAGAAUAAGCACCGGCUAACUCUGUGCCAGCCGCCGCUGUAA